rnacentral:ncRNA from 1 species
ACAGCCUCAAUGCGUUUAAGAUAAGCUGGCAAUAAAAAAGGCAGAAUCUAUCCCCGAUGAUAGGCUUUUUUUGUUGUGCUUAUUUAUACGAUAUUGAGCAUUCAUUAGUUAAGGUGAGAUGUAGACUAUCUAACUAUAGCUUUAUUUAACUGAGUCUUUUAAAGAAUGUUUCCAUAUUGUAUGUAUGCAGACCAAAGCCACAUUGUGGAUUUGACCUGCAUUUUUUAU